CAGUCGCCGCGGUAAUACGGAGGAUCCAAGCGUUAUCCGGAAUCAUUGGGUUUAAAGGGUCCUUAGGCGGUCUUGUAAGUCAGUGGUGAAAGCCCAUCGCUCAACGGUGGAACGGCCAUUGAUACUGCAGGACUUGAAUUAUUGGGAAGUAACUAGAAUAUGUAGUGUAGCGGUGAAAUGCUUAGAGAUUACAUGGAAUACCAAUUGCGAAGGCAGGUUACUACCAAUUGAUUGACGCUGAUGGACGAAAGCGUGGGUAGCGAACAGGAUUAGAUACCCCCGUAGUCCCUGUCUCUUAUAC
rnacentral:rRNA from 1 species